UUUCUGAAUCCGUAAUGUAAUGUCACAGACAGAGAGGUAGAGAUCGAGAGAAGGAGGAGCGAACUAAUUGCAGAGAGAGAGUUAGAUCGAGAGAGAAAUGUGGACCGAGAGAUGUUAUCGCGAGAAGAGUGAAGGAUGCGGAAGAGAUUGAAGCCCUAAUUCUUAAACAACGAGGAGAAUAAGGUUUGGCUCUCCCAAAGCUGUUGUUUUGAAUGGAGGCUUCUAUGGAUUUUCUACAGUUGUUUAGCCGUGACUUAUCGUUGAAAAUUUUCUCGUAUUUGUAUGAACCAGCUGAUGUUGUUCGUGCUAGUUCUGUUUCGCACUCUUGGCGCAAAUUUGGGAUAUUGAGAAAGAUGGGGGUUCUGAUGUUGCUCAAGAUAUUAUUCUUGCUUGGGGUGUUAAGGAUGGGAUAAAAAGACUUUGCCUUGUUUUGUAACAUUUUGAUGCCGAGAGUAAAACAGAUGUAUGAUUCUGUUUCCGUAAAAAGAAAUGGUUCUUUGGCGGAGGUAUUUGGGAAGUGUUCUUGUUCUUGAACAAGAACAAAUGGAAAAAGGAAAAAGCCAAUUGCCGUGAAUUCAUGGGAUAUGUUGGUGAUUUAAGACUUCAUUGAGAAUCUUGUAAGGAUUAUGAGUGGUGGGUUGUGUAUGGAUUCAUGAAUACGGGGAAGAAGCUGUACAAGGAAUCAAUUGAAACUCCAACGAUUCCGUCGAUCACCACCAGAUGAAAUACAUACAUGGUGUUUGUAUAAAUGCUAACGGACCUUAAAAAACGUUAGAUAAUUAUAAUUUAUUGUUAACUUUAAUUAUUUUUUCACAGAACUUUAA